rnacentral:rRNA from 1 species
GACGAACGCUGGCGGCGUGCUUAACACAUGCAAGUCGAACGGAAAGGCCCUGCUUUUGUGGGGUGCUCGAGUGGCGAACGGGUGAGUAACACGUGAGUAACCUGCCCUUGACUUUGGGAUAACUUCAGGAAACUGGGGCUAAUACCGGAUAGGAGCUCCUGCUGCAUGGUGGGGGUUGGAAAGUUUCGGCGGUUGGGGAUGGACUCGCGGCUUAUCAGCUUGUUGGUGGGGUAGUGGCUUACCAAGGCUUUGACGGGUAGCCGGCCUGAGAGGGUGACCGGCCACAUUGGGACUGAGAUACGGACCAGACUCCUACGGGAGGCAGCAGUGGGGAAUAUUGCACAAUGAGCGGAAGCCUGAUGCAGCAACGCCGCGUGCGGGAUGACGGCCUUCGGGUUGUAAACCGCUUUCGCCUGUGACGAAGCGUGAGUGACGGUAAUGGGUAAAGAAGCACCGGCUAACUACGUG